rnacentral:rRNA from 1 species
UGGGCGACUCUAAGGAGACUGCCGGUGACAAACCGGAGGAAAGGUGGGGAUGACGUCAAGUCAUCAUGGCCCUUACGGCCUGGGCUACACACGUGCUACAAUGGUCGGUACAAAGGGUUGCCAAGCCGCGAGGUGGAGCUAAUCCCAUAAAACCGAAUCGUAGUCCGGAUCGCAGUCUGCAACUCGACUGCGUGAAGUCGGAAUCGCUAGUAAUCGUGAAUCAGAAUGUCACGGUGAAUACGUUCCCGGGCCUU